CAGGUUUACCUGUGUGACUGCGUACCUUUUGUAUAAUGGGUCAGCGACUUAUAUUCUGUAGCAAGGUUAACCGAAUAGGGGAGCCGUAGGGAAACCGAGUCUUAAUUGGGCGUUAAGUUGCAGGGUAUAGACCCGAAACCCGGUGAUCUAGCCAUGGGCAGGUUGAAGGUUGGGUAACACUAACUGGAGGACCGAACCGACUAAUGUUGAAAAAUUAGCGGAUGACCUGUGGCUGGGGGUGAAAGGCCAAUCAAACCGGGAGAUAGCUGGUUCUCCCCGAAAGCUAUUUAGGUAGCGCCUCGUGAAUUCAUCUCCGGGGGUAGAGCACUGUUUCGGCUAGGGGGCCAUCCCGGCUUACCAACCCGAUGCAAACUGCGAAUACCGGAGAAUGUUAUCACGGGAGACACACGGCGGGUGCUAACGUCCGUCGUGAAGAGGGAAACAACCCAGACCGCCAGCUAAGGUCCCAAAGUCAUGGUUAAGUGGGAAACGAUGUGGGAAGGCCCAGACAGCCAGGAUGUUGGCUUAGAAGCAGCCAUCAUUUAAAGAAAGCGUAAUAGCUCACUGGUCGAGUCGGCCUGCGCGGAAGAUGUAACGGGGCUAAACCAUGCACCGAAGCUGCGGCAGCGAACGUAUCACUUAAAGCGAUUCAGCGGGUUACGAUUGACGGAGCGAAGCGACGUCAAAGCGUAUACAAAGUCGAGUCGGUUUAAGGAUACGUUCGUUGGGUAGGGGAGCGUUCUGUAAGCCUGUGAAGGUGGCCUGUGAGGGUUGCUGGAGGUAUCAGAAGUGCGAAUGCUGACAUAAGUAACGAUAAAGCGGGUGAAAAGCCCGCUCGCCGGAAGACCAAGGGUUCCUGUCCAACGUUAAUCGGGGCAGGGUGAGUCGACCCCUAAGGCGAGGCCGAAAGGCGUAGUCGAUGGGAAACGGGUUAAUAUUCCCGUACUUGGUGUUACUGCGAAGGGGGGACGGAGAAGGCUAUGUUGGCCGGGCGACGGUUGUCCCGGUUUAAGCGUGUAGGCUGGUUUUCCAGGCAAAUCCGGAAAAUCAAG
rnacentral:rRNA from 1 species